rnacentral:ncRNA from 1 species
UCGGUUAAACAUAAAUAAUAUAUACAAAUUAAAUACACCCCUAUUCUGCCAUUUAUUAUAUUAUUUAUUUUAUGACUAGAGAUAAAACCUCUCGUAUCAUGCCGUUUUGAUUGGUUAGAAUUUAAAAUAUACUGUCAGUAUGCUCCAAUUUAUAGGGUAGGCAGGCUCCCAGAGUGGGUGUGAGGCCUUUAGUUCGGUCUGGGUCUUCUGCUCGGCGCAGUCGGUAGCUGAGAGUCGAGUUGCUUGGGAUCGCAGCUCAAAGUGGGUGGUAAGCUCCAUCUAAGGCUAAAUACUUGCACGAGUCCGAUAGCGAACAAGUACCGUGAGGGAAAGUUGAAAAUAACUUUGAAGAGAGAGUUCAAGAGACCGUGAAAGCGCCUACGGGCAAACGGGUGGAACCGCCGGUGCGAUCAGCGGAAUCCAGCCCGCCGGGCAGGCGGCUCCUGGUGGCGAUUGCAGACUUGUCCUUCUCGGAGGACGGGCUCGUCUUUCUCAAUCAAUAGUCGAUUAUAAUUAUUAGAAGGUGGCUAACGCUUGUCACGACCAUCUCCGCUUCAGACGAUUUUCUAAAAUUUACCGUAAUGAAUCAUGAUCCAAACCUUAUAUGAAUCGUUUCAAUGAAUAUUUUCCCUUCACUCAAGACCUAUUUUAUAUCUCCCUCAGUGUUCCUCUGCAUGCUAAUCUUACUAUUGUUCAAUAAAAAAACUAAAAAAAAUUACGCCCCUCGUUUCAAU